rnacentral:rRNA from 1 species
CCUACGGGAGGCAGCAGUGAGGAAUAUUGGUCAAUGGACGAGAGUCUGAACCAGCCAAGUAGCGUGAAGGAUGACUGCCCUAUGGGUUGUAAACUUCUUUUAUAUGGGAAUAAAAUGUUCCACGUGUGGGAUUUUGUAUGUACCAUAUGAUUAAGGCUCGGCUAACUCCGUGCCAGCAGCCGCGGUAAUACGGAGGAUCCGAGCGUUAUCCGGAUUUAAUGGGUUUAAAGGGAGCGUAGGUGGAUUGUUAAGGCAGUUGUGAAAGUUUUCGGCUCAACCGUAAAAUUGCAGUUGAAACUGGCAGUCUUGAGUGCAGUAGAGGUGAGCGGAAUUCGUGGUGUAGCGGUGAAAUGCAUAGAUAUCACGAAGAACUCCGAUUGCGAAGGCAGCUCACUGGACUGCAACCGACGCUGAGGCUCGAAAGUGUGGGUAUCAAACAGGAUUAGAUACCCGGGUAGUC